GGGUUUGUGGCUCAGUGGUAGAGUGCUUGCCUAGCAUGCGUGAGGCACUGGGUUCGAUCCCCAGCCCCA
rnacentral:tRNA from 1 species